GGAGAGGUGGCUGAGUACGGCUGAAGGCGCUCGAUUGGAAAUCGAGUAACGUGUGAAAGCGUUCGUGGGUUCAAAUCCCACCCUCUCCGCCA
rnacentral:tRNA from 1 species